rnacentral:tRNA from 1 species
GGAGGAGUCGGAUAAUGGUUAUUCCACCGGUCUUGAAAACCGGAGCCCGCAAGGGCUUGCGAGUUCGAGUCUCGCCUCCUCCG